rnacentral:rRNA from 1 species
ACCUAAUAGAUACCCCGGUAGUCCACGCCCUAAACGAUGCGAACUGGAUGUUGGGUACAUUACGGUACUCAGUGUCGAAAGCUAAACGCGUUAAGUUCGCCGCCUGGGGAGUACGGUCGCAAGACUGAAACUCAAAGGAAUUGACGGGGGCCCGCACAAGCGGUGGAGUAUGUGGUUUAAUUCGAUGCAACGCGAAGAACCUUACCUGGCCUUGACAUCUGUCGAAUCCUGCAGAGAUGCGGGAGUGCCGCAAGGAACGACAAGACAGGUGCUGCAUGGCUGUCGUCAGCUCGUGUCGUGAGAUGUUGGGUUAAGUCCCGCAACGAGCGCAACCCUUGUCCCUAGUUGCCAGCACGUAAUGGUGGGAACUCUAGGGAGACUGCCGGUGACAAACCGGAGGAAGGUGGGG